rnacentral:hammerhead_ribozyme from 1 species
AUCCAGAUAAAGAGUCUUAAAUAGGACGAAACCCGCGUCCUGGAU